GGGCAUUCGUAAUUUCAUAGUCAGAGGGAAAUUCUUGGAUUUAUGAAAGACGAACAACUGCGAAAGCAUUUGCCAAGGAUGUUUUCAUUAAUCAAGAACGAAAGUUGGGGGCUCGAAGACGAUCAGAUACCGUCCUAGUCUCAACCAUAAACGCAGCCGACCAGGGAUCGGCGGAUGUUGCUUAUAGGACUCCGCCGGCACCUUAUGAGAAAUCAAAGUCUUUGGGUUCCGGGGGGAGUAUGGUCGCAAGGCUGAAACUUAAAGGAAUUGACGGAAGGGCACCACCAGGC
rfam:Hordeum vulgare subsp. vulgare, WGS project CAJW01000000 data, contig: morex_contig_1430234